AUGCACGCUGGCGGCGUGCCUCAUACAUGCCAGUCGAGCGAACAGACGAGGAGCUUGCUCCUCUGACGUUAGCGGCGGACGGGUGAGUAACACGUGGAUAACCUACCUAUAAGACUGGGAUAACUUCGGGAAACCGGAGCUAAAACCGGAUAAUAUAUUGAACCGCAUGGUUCAAUAGUGAAAGACGGUUUUGCUGUCACUUAUAGAUGGAUCCGCGCCGCAUUAGCUAGUUGGUAAGGUAACGGCUUACCAAGGCGACGAUGCGUAGCCGACCUGAGAGGGUGAUCGGCCACACUGGAACUGAGACACGGUCCAGACUCCUACGGGAGGCAGCAGUAGGGAAUCUUCCGCAAUGGGCGAAAGCCUGACGGAGCAACGCCGCGUGAGUGAUGAAGGUCUUCGGAUCGUAAAACUCUGUUAUUAGGGAAGAACAAAUGUGUAAGUAACUAUGCACGUCUUGACGGUACCUAAUCAGAAAGCCACGGCUAACUACG
rnacentral:rRNA from 1 species